AAGUGCCUGAGGCUCCCAAAGAAGUUGUUCCUGAAAAGAAAGUGCCAGUGCCUCCUCCUAAAAAGCCUGAAGUGCCACCCACAAAAGUCCCAGAGGUGCCAAAGGCAGCUGUCCCAGAAAAGAAGUUGCCUGAAGCUAUUCCUCCCAAACCGGAAAGUCCUCCCCCUGAAGUGCUGCCACCGAAGGAAGUGGUCCCAGAAAAGAAAGUACCGGUGCCUCCUGCCAAAAAGCCAGAAGCUCCACCUCCUAAAGUGCCUGAAGUGCUGCCACCGAAGGAAGUGGUCCCAGAAAAGAAAGUACCGGUGCCUCCUGCCAAAAAGCCAGAAGCUCCACCUCCUAAAGGUAGCUCCUAAAGAAGUUGUACUUGAAAAGAAAGCAUCUGUGGCUGUGCCCAAAAAACCGGAAGCCCCACGUGCAAAAGUGCCUGAAGCUGCUCAAGAAGUUGUCCCAGAAAAGAAAAUUCCCAAGGCACCAAUCAAAAAACCAGAAGCCCCCGCAGUUACAGGUACAUUUCCUCAAGAAGCCGCAGAAAAAGAAAUUCCCGUGGCUCCACCCAAAAAACCAGAAGCUCCAAUUGUCCCAGUGCCUGAAGCUCAAGAAGUUGUCCCAGAAAAGAAAGUUCCUAAGGCUCCUCCCACAAAACCAGAAGCCCCACCUGCCACAGUGCCUGAAGUCCCACAAGAAAUUGUGCCAGAAAAGAAAACACUGGUGCUUCCUAAAAAGCCAGAAGUUCCACCUGUUACAGUGCCAGAGGCUCCCAAAGAAGUUGUCCUUGAAAAGAAAGUGCCCUUGGCUCCUCCUAAAAAGCCUGAAGUCCCACCUGUUAAAGUGCCAGAGGCUCCCAAAGAAGUUGUUCCUGAAAAGAAAGUGCCAGUGACUCCUCCUAAAAAACCUGAAGUCCCACCUGUUAAAGUGCCAGAGGCUCCCAUAGAGGUUGUUCCUGAAAAGAAAAUGCCCUUGGCUCCUCCUAAAAAGCCUGAAGUCCCUCCUGUUAAAGUACCAGAGGCUCCCAAAGAGGUUGUUCCUGAAAAGAAAGUGCCCUCGGCUCCUCCUAAAAAGCCUGAAGUCCCACCUGUUAAAGGCUCCGAAAGAAGUUGUUCCUGAAAAGAAAGUGCCAGCGGCUCCUCCUAAAAAGCCUGAAGUCACACCUGUUAAAGGUAUUUGCUCCCAAAGAAGUUGUUCCUGAAAAGAAAGUGCCAGUGCCUCCUCCUAAAAAGCCUGAAGUGCCACCCACAAAAGAGGUGCCAAAGGUAGCUGUCCCAGAAAAGAAGGUGCCUGAAGCUAUUCCUCCCAAACCGGAAAGUCCUCCCCCUGAAGUGUUCGAGGAGCCUGAGGAAGUUGCCCUAGAAGAGCCUCCUGCUGAAGUUGUGGAAGAGCCAGAGCCAGCGGCGCCUCCACAAGUGACCGUACCACCUAAGAAACCUGUCCCAGAAAAGAAAGCACCUGCUGUCGUUGC
rnacentral:lncRNA from 1 species